UUCAUAGUCCUUUAUUUGUAUCGUCAUCUUAUCUGACCAUCUCAGGUAACUUUUUUUAAGGUGUCAUUAUUCAAAAAUUCUCACUCAAGCCUACUAAUCGAACCUGAAAAACAUUAUAUGUUGAAUCCCUUGUUUUGAUUUAUUGGACCAACUGUUCCCCUGUAAAUUUUCUGCUUUUAACCCCUGCAGGCUUCAUCCAUAAGUGCAAGACAUUCCCCUAAUUCUGCUGUGCUUUGCCAUCAUGUCAAAGGUGAGUUUCACCUUAUCUUGCGUAAAAUAAUAAACACAAAUUUAAUCAAUUUAAUAUUUGCCAACUCCUUUUAUAACUUCUUUUUUGGUCUAUUUACUGUAUUGUAUUUCAUGUUCCCCAUCUUUGAAUCCUGUUGCAGUUAGUAGAUACUGAUGGUAGUUGUUAUAUUAUUUAGUUCAAUCCAUUUCUUGGAAACUCUUCAAGUAGAACUCAGUAAAUUAGCUCCGUCUAUUAUGCCUUGUUGAUGCUAUUUAUUCUAAUAUGGGGACCUGUCAUUUGAGAGCUGCAACUGAAGGGAAGAAAAAUACUAUGCCCCAUUCCCAAAAUGUUAUUAGAUGGAAUUGAAGAUAUCUAUAAAUACUAGACUAAAUAAUUAAGGGGGACCUGAAGCUACAACAUCAGAGUGAUAAUUUAGGUUGGAAGGAUUCCUGUAGUAGUAUGUUUGGAACUUGGUUGGUUACAACAUUGUUCCUGCUAUUAUAUUUUAGUAGUAUCCUUUCAAGUUUGUGUUCUUGUUUAGGACUUGCAUUUUCUAGUUCUGUAGUCUUAAUAAAUGAGGAGUCUGUAAGUAAGGAGUGCCAGCUCAAAUAAAUUGAGUUCAUGAUAUGAAAUACCGACUGUUUAUAGCUAUAAAUUGAUCAAUUCUGGGUUUUGCUUUCUCUAACAUCAUUUUUGUAAACCUUUUCUUCAUUAUAUGUCGUUCCUAAGAUAUGUUGCUUUGCUUUACGGUGGGCAGGAAGAAGGCCUCAGUUAAAAGUUGCUUUAUAAGAUGAACUGUCACUCCUUGCUGCUGUUGUCAUAUAGCAAACCAAGAUGAACAUGUUCAUGCUGAUGAAUUAUGAUGGUCCUCUAUUACAAAGAAGUACCUGAUGAUAAACGAGAUAAUAUUUGAUAGUGGUUAAUACUUGUAAAAACAGAUAUCCCCAUGUAGGUACUGCUUCUUCAUAAGACUAUUUUAGCUCAGUUUGUCUUUGUAAUAUACUAAGAAUCAUGUGCUUAUAUAUAUAUAUAUAUAUAUAUAUAUAUAUAUAUAUAUAUAUAUAUAUAUAUAUAU
rnacentral:lncRNA from 1 species